rnacentral:rRNA from 1 species
GCUCCUUCGGGAGUACUCGAGCGGCGAAAGGGAGAGUAACGCGUGGAUAUCUACCCCCUGGACUGGGAUAGCGGCGGGAAACUGCCGGUAAUACCGGAUAAAGUCUGCGGACCAAAGGUGUGACUCCGCCGGGGGAUGAGUCCGCGUCCUAUUAGCUUGUUGGUGGGGUAAUGGCCUACCAAGGCCGAGAUGGGUACCGGGUGUGAGAGCAUGGCCCGGCUCACUGGGACUGAGACACUGCCCAGACACCUACGGGUGGCUGCAGUCGAGAAUCUUCGGCAAUGGGCGCAAGCCUGACCGAGCGACGCCGCGUGCGGGAUGAAGGCCUUCGGGUUGUAAACCGCUGUCAGAGGGGAGGAAAUGCGUGGGGGUUCUCCCCCAUGUUUGACCUAUCCUCAGAGGAAGUACGGGCUAAGUUCGUGCCAGCAGCCGCGGUAAUACGAACCGUACGAACGUUAUUCGGAAUCACUGGGCUUAAAGAGUGCGUAGGCGGCCAAGCAAGUUGGGUGUGAAAUCCCUCGGCUCAACCGAGGAACUGCGCUCAAAACUGCUUGGCUUGAGAAAGAUAGAGGUGAGCGGAACUAAUGGUGGAGCGGUGAAAUGCGUUGAUAUCCUAAGGAACACCAGUGGCGAAGGCGCCGCUCUGGGCCGUAACUGACGCUGAGGAGCGAAAGCAUGGGUAGCAAACAGGAUUAGAUACCCUGGUA